CAUGCAUCUCCCUUUCUCUGCCAAACUCUUCCUUGAUGACACACAAGAUCCGAGGAUGAAUGAUUGCCCUCUUGAACUCAUUACACUUUCCUUGCCUAGAAUCUGGGGACAGAAUGAAGGCUCUGUCUUCUACUCCAUCAUCUUGUUGGCAUCACUCCUGGAAAAGAUAUUCCAGUGCAAAGUUGAGUGUGGAUCAUCUUUAGGGAUGUAAUCUCGACUUCCCUUCGGAGAAAAGGAGAAAUACCACAUUUGUUGGAAGCCAGUCUCCAAGAAAGGUUAUUGACUUUGCGUUACCCACAAUCCCAAUUUUCCACUUAAAUCCCUGUAUUUAGAAUUCUCAGGCUAUCUAGAGCUGUAGUUGUUCUAGAAAUUCUCACAUACAUGGCACAUAUCUACCUCUUUCCUAAGUUUGCCCUAGCUGAAGGAUCACACUCAAUAGAUUCCUGAAGAUAAACUUCUGGUAAUUGAUACCAUUGUUGGUAUACUUAGGAUGAUAGCAAGGAUCAAUAUUUCUUCAGUAAUAUAAACCUAUUAGCUUUCCUUCCUUUAGUACAUUCACUUUCCAAUCCCUGAAUAACUAUUUCAGUUACAGCAUAUGCUUUCUUUUCCAUGUUGUCUUUACAUGUCUCCUUGGUAAAUUCCUCUAAUGUUUCAUUUUGUCUCAAAAAGACAAAAAAAAAAGAUCCUAACUACUUUUAUGCAGUACCUGUGGACAAGGUAAAAUAAAGAAAUAAAUAAUCCUGCAUUUCUGUAGGGUCAAAACUAGUUUUUACAUUGGUUAUGCA
rnacentral:lncRNA from 10 species